rnacentral:rRNA from 4 species
AAAUUGAAGAGUUUGAUCAUGGCUCAGAUUGAACGCUGGCGGCAGGCCUAACACAUGCAAGUCGAACGGUAACAGGAAGCAGCUUGCUGCUUUGCUGACGAGUGGCGGACGGGUGAGUAAUGUCUGGGAAACUGCCUGAUGGAGGGGGAUAACUACUGGAAACGGUGGCUAAUACCGCAUAACGUCGCAAGACCAAAGAGGGGGACCUUCGGGCCUCUUGCCAUCAGAUGUGCCCAGAUGGGAUUAGCUUGUUGGUGAGGUAACGGCUCACCAAGGCGACGAUCCCUAGCUGGUCUGAGAGGAUGACCAGCCACACUGGAACUGAGACACGGUCCAGACUCCUACGGGAGGCAGCAGUGGGGAAUAUUGCACAAUGGGCGCAAGCCUGAUGCAGCCAUGCCGCGUGUAUGAAGAAGGCCUUCGGGUUGUAAAGUACUUUCAGCGGGGAGGAAGGUGUUGUGGUUAAUAACCGCAGCAAUUGACGUUACCCGCAGAAGAAGCACCGGCUAACUCCGUGCCAGCAGCCGCGGUAAUACGGAGGGUGCAAGCGUUAAUCGGAAUUACUGGGCGUAAAGCGCACGCAGGCGGUCUGUCAAGUCGGAUGUGAAAUCCCCGGGCUCAACCUGGGAACUGCAUUCGAAACUGGCAGGCUUGAGUCUUGUAGAGGGGGGUAGAAUUCCAGGUGUAGCGGUGAAAUGCGUAGAGAUCUGGAGGAAUACCGGUGGCGAAGGCGGCCCCCUGGACAAAGACUGACGCUCAGGUGCGAAAGCGUGGGGAGCAAACAGGAUUAGAUACCCUGGUAGUCCACGCCGUAAACGAUGUCUACUUGGAGGUUGUGCCCUUGAGGCGUGGCUUCCGGAGCUAACGCGUUAAGUAGACCGCCUGGGGAGUACGGCCGCAAGGUUAAAACUCAAAUGAAUUGACGGGGGCCCGCACAAGCGGUGGAGCAUGUGGUUUAAUUCGAUGCAACGCGAAGAACCUUACCUGGUCUUGACAUCCACGGAAGAAUUUCAGAGAUGGAUUUGUGCCUUCGGGAACCGUGAGACAGGUGCUGCAUGGCUGUCGUCAGCUCGUGUUGUGAAAUGUUGGGUUAAGUCCCGCAACGAGCGCAACCCUUAUCCUUUGUUGCCAGCGGUCCGGCCGGGAACUCAAAGGAGACUGCCAGUGAUAAACUGGAGGAAGGUGGGGAUGACGUCAAGUCAUCAUGGCCCUUACGACCAGGGCUACACACGUGCUACAAUGGCGCAUACAAAGAGAAGCGACCUCGCGAGAGCAAGCGGACCUCAUAAAGUGCGUCGUAGUCCGGAUUGGAGUCUGCAACUCGACUCCAUGAAGUCGGAAUCGCUAGUAAUCGUGGAUCAGAAUGCCACGGUGAAUACGUUCCCGGGCCUUGUACACACCGCCCGUCACACCAUGGGAGUGGGUUGCAAAAGAAGUAGGUAGCUUAACCUUCGGGAGGGCGCUUACCACUUUGUGAUUCAUGACUGGGGUGAAGUCGUAACAAGGUAACCGUAGGGGAACCUGCGGUUGGAUCACCUCCUUACCUUAAAGAA